rnacentral:rRNA from 1 species
UACGUAGGGUGCGAGCGUUAAUCGGAAUUACUGGGCGUAAAGUGUGCGCAGGCGGCAGAGCAAGUCGAGUGUGAAAGCCCCGGGCUUAACUUGGGAAUUGCGCUCGAAACUACUUUGCUGGAGUGUGGCAGAGGAAGGUGGAAUUCCACGUGUAGCGGUGAAAUGCGUAGAGAUGUGGAGGAACACCAAUGGCGAAGGCAGCCUUCUGGGCCAACACUGACGCUCAUGCACGAAAGCGUGGGGAGCAAA